rnacentral:rRNA from 1 species
UACGGAGGGUGCAAGCGUUGUUCGGAAUCACUGGGCGUAAAGCACACGUAGGCGGAUCUGUUAGCCAAUUGUGAAAUCCCGGGGCUCAACCCCGGAAUGGCAGUUGGAACUGCAGACCUUGAAUGCUCAAGAGGUUGGGGGAAUUCCUGGUGUAGAAGUGAAAUUCGUAGAUAUCAGGAGGAACACCUGAGGCGAAGGCGCCUGACUGGUGGGCCAUUGACGCUGAGGUGCGAAAGCGUGGGUAGCAAACAGG